UACGAAGGGGGCUAGCGUUGCUCGGAAUUACUGGGCGUAAAGCGCGCGCAGGCGGCCUCGCGCGCCCGACGUGAAAGCCCCCGGCUUAACCGGGGAGGGUCGUUGGGGACGGCGGGGCUUGAGGGCGGGAGAGGGCGGUGGAAUUCCCGGUGUAGUGGUGAAAUGCGUAGAGAUCGGGAGGAACACCUGUGGCGAAGGCGGCCGUCUGGGCCGACCCUGACGCUGAGGCGCGAAGGCGUGGGGAGCGAACGGG
rnacentral:rRNA from 1 species